GCACCCGCGGUAAUUCCAGCUCCAAUAGCGUAUACUAAAGUUGUUGCGGUUAAAAAGCUCGUAGUUGAACUUCUGUACAGUCUCACUUCUGGCUUCGGUCAAGGUGUUGGCUGUACAUCCGCUUGCAAAGCUGGUUCGGCCUUAACUGGUCGGCUAGUAGAGUAAGCCCUUUACUUUGAAAAAAUUAGAGUGUUUCAGGCAGGCAAUGGCUCGAAUACAUUAGCAUGGAAUAAUGGAAUAGGACUUUUGUCCAUUUGGUUGGUUCUUGGACUUAAGUAAUGAUUAAAAGGGACAGUUGGGGGCAUUGGUAUUUGACAGUCAGAGGUGAAAUUCUUGGAUUUGUUAAAGACUAACUUAUGCGAAAGCAUUUGCCAAGGAUGUUUUCAUCGAUCAAGAACGAAAGU
rnacentral:rRNA from 1 species